CGCCAAUAAGCUAGCCCAACUAAUAAAAACAACAACCAACAUUAAUAACCCCCAAACAUUAACCCCGUAAAACCAAACCAUUUUACCCCCCUAGUAUGGGAGACAGAAAAGGAACAUUUGGAGCAACAGAAUAAGUACCGCAAGGGAAUGCUGAAAGAGAAAUGAAACAAUUCAGUAAAGCCCAAAAAAGCAGAGAUUACAUCUCGUACCUUUUGCAUCAUGAUUUAGCUAGACCCCCCCAAGCAAAGAGAACUUUAGUCUGGGCCCCCGAAACUACGGUGAGCUACUCCAAGACAGCCCGUCCUGGGGCGAACCCGUCUCUGUGGCAAAAGAGUGGGAAGAGCUUUGAGUAGAGGUGACAGACCUACCGAACCUAGUUAUAGCUGGUUGCCUGAGAAUUGGAUAGGAGUUCAGCCUCCAGGCUUCUCUCUUCACAGCGAUUUUAUUAUCCACCCGCCGAUACCUAAAGAAGCCUAGAGAGUUAAUUAAAGGGGGUACAGCCCCUUUAAAACAAGACACAACUUUUCCAGGAGGGUAAAGAUCAUAAUAUAUAUAAGGCAUAAUGCCCUAGUGGGCCUAAAAGCAGCCACCCCUAUAGAAAGCGUUACAGCUCGAGCAUUUAAUAAGCCAUAUAUGAAGAUAACCAAAUCCCAACCCCCUAACACAUUACCAGGCCAUCUCAUGCCCACAUGAGAGCGCACAUGCUAAUAUGAGUAGUAAGAGAGCACCCGCCUCUCUCCUUGCACACAUGUAAAUCGGAACGAACCCCCACCGAAACUUAACGGCCCCAAACCUAGAGGGAAUUGUUUAUCAGCAUAAAUAACUAGAAAAUCAUCCAACAAAUGACCGUUAACCCUACACAGGUGUGCCCUUAAGGAAAGACCAACAGAAAUAGAAGGAAUUCAGCAACACGUUAUCCUGAGCCUCGCCUGUUUACCAAAAACAUCGCCUCUUGCAAACCUAGAAUAAGAGGUCUGGCCUGCCCUGUGACUAUAUGUUUAACGGCCGCGGUAUUUUGACCGUGCGAAGGUAGCGCAAUCAUUUGUCUUUUAAAUGAGGACCGGUAUGAAAGGCACAACGAGGGCUCAACUGUCUCCUCUUUCUAGUCAAUGAAAUUGAUCUCCCCGUGCAAAAGCGGGGAUACCCCCAUAAGACGAGAAGACCCUGUGGAGCUUUAGGCACAAGGCAUAUCAUGUUAAACACCCCUGAACAAAGGGCUGAACUAAAUGAACCCUGCCCUCAUGCCUUAGGUUGGGGCGACCAUGGGGAAGCAAGCAACCCCCACGUGGAAUGGGAACACUUCUUUUUUUCUCCCUCCUACAAGCAAGAGCUGCAGCUCUAGCAAACAGAAUUUCUGACCAAACUAAAGAUCCGGCAACGCCGAUCAACGGACCAAGUUACCCCAGGGAUAACAGCGCAAUCCCCUUUUAGAGCCCAUAUCGACAAGGGGGUUUACGACCUCGAUGUUGGAUCAGGACAUCCUAAUGGUGUAACCGCUAUAAAGGGUUCGUUUGUUCAACGAUUAAAGUCCUACGUGAUCUGAGUUCAGACCGGAGUAAUCCAGGUCAGUUUCUAUCUAUGCCAUGUUCUUUUCUAGUACGAAAGGACCGGAAAGAAGGGGCCCAUGUUUUUGACACGCCUCACCCAUCCUAGUGAAUACAACUAAACUAGAAGAGAGGUCAUACCCUACCAAUUGCCAAAAAUAAAGGCACGUUAGGAAGAGGAAACUUAUUACUACAAAUAAGCCCAGACUCCCCAAACUAGAGGUUCAAACCCUCUCCCUAACUACAGACAGCCAAAACAUAACAGAAGGGCUUACCCCCUGACUGCAUGGGCUGUCAACAUGCCGUGGGGCAGAGCUCGGUAAUAAAAAGCUUCGAGCUUAGACCGACCCGAGGGGUAAAACCCUCCCCCAUCGAACAACUACCACACAAUGACAGCCAAAACAUAGCAGAAGGGCUUACCCCCUAACUGCAUGGGCUGUCAACAUGCCGUGGGGCAGAGCUCGGUAAUAAAAAGCUUCGAGCUUAGACCGACCCGAGGGGUAAAACCCUCCCCCAUCGAACAACUACCACACAAUGACAGCCAAAACAUAGCAGAAGGGCUUACCCCCUAACUGCAUGGGCUGUCAACAUGCCGUGGGGCAGAGCUCGGUAAUAAAAAGCUUCGAGCUUAGACCGACCCGAGGGGUAAAACCCUCCCCCAUCGAACAACUACCACACAAUGACAGCCAAAACAUAGCAGAAGGGCUUACCCCCUGACUGCAUGGGCUGUCAACAUGCCGUGGGGCAGAGCUCGGUAAUAAAAAGCUUCGAGCUUAGACCGACCCGAGGGGUAAAACCCUCCCCCAUCGAACAACUACCACACAAUGACAGCCAAAACAUAGCAGAAGGGCUUACCCCCUGACUGCCUAACACAACAACAU
rnacentral:rRNA from 1 species